rnacentral:rRNA from 1 species
UACGAAGGCCCCAAGCGUUAUCCGGAAUUACUGGGCGUAAAGCGCGCGUAGUCGGUUUGUAUAGUCUGAUGUUAAAUCUCACGGCCCAACUGUGAAACUGCGUCAGAAACGUACAGACUAGAGCAAGUCAGAGGCACACGGAACAUGCAGUGUAGCGGUGAAAUGCGUUGAUAUUGCAUGGAACACCAAAAGCGAAGGCAGUGUGCUGGGGCUGUGCUGACGAUGAGGUGCGAAAGCGUGGGUAGCAAAAAGG